rnacentral:lncRNA from 1 species
GGGGUCUAUGGGGUGUCUAUGGGGUGAGUGAGGGUCUGUGGGGUGUCUAAUGGGGUCUAUAGGGUCUAUGGGGUGUCUAUGGGGUAUCUGGGGUGAGUGAGUGUCUAUUGGGGUCUAUGGGGUGUCAAUAGGGGUCUAUGGGGUGUCUGUGGGGUGAGUGAGUGUCUAUUGGGGUCUAUGGGGUGUCAAUAGGGGUCUGUGGGGUGAGUAAGUGUCUAUUGGGGUCUAUGGGGUGUCUAUGGGGUGUCAAUAGGGGUCUAUGGGGUGUCAGUAGGGGUCUAUGGGGUGUCUAUAGGGUCUAUGGGUUCUGUGGGGGUCUAUGGGGUGUCAGUAGGGGUCUGUGGGGUGUGUCAGUAAGGGUCUAUGGGGGUGUCAAUAGGGCGGUUAUUGGGGUCUAUUGCGGGGUGAG